rnacentral:rRNA from 1 species
AUUGAACGCUGGCGGCAGGCCUAACACAUGCAAGUCGCACGAGUGGCGGACGGGGGAGUAAUGUCUGGGAAACUGCCUGAUGGAGGGGGAUAACUACUGGAAACGGUAGCUAAUACCGCAUACCAUCGGCAGUGCCCAGAUGGGAUUAACUAGUAGGGGGGGUAAAGGCUCACUUAUGCCACGAUCCCUAGCUGGUCUGAGAGGCUGACCAGCCACACUGUAACUUAGACACGGUCCAGACUACUAAGUGAGGCAGCAGUGGAGAAUAUUGAACAAUGGGCGCAUGCCUGAUGCAGCCAUGCCGCGUGUAUGAAGAAGGCCUUCGGGUUGUAAAGUACUUUCAGCGGGGAGGCUUUACCCGCAGAAGAAGCACCGGCUAACUCCGUGCCAGCAGCCGCGGUAAUAC